rnacentral:lncRNA from 1 species
UACAGGUUUUUACUUUGAAAAAAUUCGUAUUGAAAAGAUUUCAUGUACAUUUUAAUUGCAUUUUUAAAAUCUCUGCUUGGUUGCAUAUGAGACAAUUUAAAAAUAGUUAAGGUGUUUUGGAAAUAAACAACAUUUUUAAGAGUUUUUGAUUAUCAAAAAGAGUUCGUUUAGGAGGGGAAAAAAACAACAAAAACCAAAGCAAAUCCAUGCUUCAUACGAAAUGCAGAUACUCUUAGCUAUCUGGUAAAAGGGCAAAAAAUAAGACUUUAAAGUCUUUAGCACCAUUUAAAAAAAAUCAUAUUGAAAGAUUUUUCUUUUUUUUUUCUUCUUCUUCUUGUAUGACUACACAAGUAGAGGGUAGAGUUGGUAAGCCAGCAUUACUCAGCUGCAUCCUGCUCAGCCCGGAGCACAGAUCCUCUACAAUUUGGAAAGUGAUCCCUUGAGACAAUGGGUUCCAUUUUUGAGUGCUUUUUCUAUACCUCCCAGACUAAGAGAUUUGGAAAUGGGGCAACUUCUGCUCAUCAUUUAAUAUUUAACUCAGGAUUCUCCUCUCUGUGUACCUUCUGUGACUUGUGAACAUGGAUCCAACCCCUCCCUCUUAUGUACUGAAAUUGUACCUGGUACACACUUCUAUACAACACUUACAUUGUGUCACAGUAAUACACUGACUUCCUUCAGGUCUUGUAAAUUGAGGAGAGAGAAUCAGUCCAAUGGAUGGCCAAUCCCAUGGUUGGCACAUAGAAGGCACUUACAAAAGUUUAUUGAAUUGAAAUGGAAAUUUCACCUUAAAAAAUAUUUUUAAUCAUUAACAAAGUUGGAGCUUUAUACACAAAAGAUAAUAAAGGAAGAAAAUAGCAAAAAGACCAAGAAAUAGCUAUCUAUGGCUGAUUUAACUUGUUUACCAUCAGAUGCUUUAUUUUUAUUCCUGCUAUCAAACGUGUGCCCAUCUCCUGAAGAGGUGUAAUUUCAAAAGCCAUAAAUUCUUUUCUCUUUACAUCACAAAAGAGAGAGGACAAAAUCAGCGAUCAAGGGAAAGCAUGAGACAGACAUGCCCUUGGAGAAGCCACAGCCUGUCUCUGGUGACCACGACUAAUAGGAGCCAAGAAGGUCAAAACCCUGCACCACAGCAUCUGUGACUCAGGUCCCAAGUACACGGGGCCUGAGGAGGCUCUGGUUGCAUUCAAGACAUGAUGGAUAUUUAAGAUGCCAGUGACAUAAUCUGACAAAAGUCCGUUUUCUUCUAUCUGAGUGCAAAGCUGAAGUCCAUUCUCAGAGACAUGAAAAUCAAUCACUGUGCAGCUUCCUAGAGAGUCAAGUAACAGGUCCCUUCUGGGCCCUCCCAGAUCAUUCCUAAGCAAAAGCUAGAUUGCUUUUCUUCUCUCCUUCAAAUAUGUUUAACCAUCACGUGAACUCAAUGCAUCCCAACGGCCCCCACAGCUCGUGUCCACAUGGUGUCGUUACUGAGUCCUUUGUAUCAGCUCCAGUUCUUCUCUCUUCAGGUUUUGAGCAGAAAGGAAGUUCUCCGGAGCCUUAUUGCAUGCUCAUCUCCACCUGCUCUCUGCAGAAGUUUCCAGAUUGCUCCUCAUUCAGUUUUGGAAAAUUGGCCUUAAUGUUUAUCAAAUAUCUACUCUGUAUCAGACAUAAGGCAUAUGCAUACAUGCAUCAUUUUAUUUAGUCUUCAUGACAAGUGGGAAGGGAAUUAUUAUUGUCCCCAUUUUAAGGAUAGAGGAAUGCUAGAGCAGAGACGUAUAGGAACGCAGCUUGGCUCCCGGAGCUAACCUCUUGGAGAGCAGAGAUUCCCAGGAUUUGGACCCUGAGGCCCAUUCUCUUAAGCACUAUACUUCCUUGCUCUCUUUCUUCUGCCUGAGCACUGCCAUUAGGCUCCUGUGCUCACAUGUUCCAGCCACCCAGGCAGGGCCAGCCGAAGUCAUCUGUGAGAUUUUUUAGCAAACACACAGCCCUAAAUACAGCCUGGUGGCCCAUGUGACUCUAGAGGCUCCAGACCACCUGAGUUGGCCACCAUUCACUGAGGACACUGUUUCUCCCUCCUUGGCUCUUUAGAGGAUUCAAAAGUACAUCGGAGCACACGUGCUUUAAAACAUCACUAGUGAAUUGCAACUUCUUUAUAAUCAAAACAUCGAAAAGAGAUCUUCCUUUGGAGUCCUCAGGAAAGGCUAUGCCCUGUUAUCCCAUGUCAAGACCAGGAGCCAGUCCGCAGACUGGAGGUGAGACUUUAUUUGGAGGAUCU